UAAUACGGAGGGUGCAAGCGUUGCUCGGAUUUACUGGGCGUAAAGCGCACGCAGGCGGUCUGGAAGGUCGGGUGUGAAAGCCCGGGGCUCAACCCCGGAACUGCACUCGAAACCGCCAGACUUGAGGUCGAGAGAGGAGGGUAGAAUUCCUGGUGUAGAGGUGAAAUUCGUUGAUAUCAGGAGGAAUACCGGUGGCGAAGGCGGCCCUCUGGCUCGAUUCUGACGCUCAUGUGCGAAAGCGUGGGGAGCAAACAGG
rnacentral:rRNA from 1 species